AUGCGUUUUGUGCGGUGCAUCCAGGAGUCUGAGGUGAAGGAGGCUUUAAAAAGGAUGAAAGGAGGCAAGGCGAUGGUCCCUGAUUGUAUCCCCAUUGAGGUGUUGAAAGGUCUCGGGGACAUAGCGAUAGUAUGGCUAACCAAGCUUUUCAACCUCAUUUUUCGGGCAAACAAGAUGCCAGAAGAAUGGAGACAGAGUAUAUUAGUACCAAUCUUCAAGAACAAGGGAGAUGUUCAGAGUUGUACUAAUUACCGUGGAAUUAAGCUGAUGAGCCAUACAAUGAAGCUAUGGGAGAGAGUCAUUGAGCACCGCUUAAGAAGAAUGACAAGCGUGACCAAAAAUCAGUUUGGUUUCAUGCCUAGGAGGUCGACCAUGGAAGCCAUUUUCUUGGUACGACAACUUAUGGAGAGAUAUAGAGAGCAUAAGAAGGACUUGCAUAUGGUGUUCAUUGACUUGGAGAAGGCCUAUGAUAAGAUACCGCGGAAUGUCAUGUGGUGGGCCUUGGAGAAACACAAAGUCUCAGCAAAGUACAUUACCCUCAUCAAGGACAUGUACAAUAAUGUUGUGACAAGUGUUCGAACAAGUGAUGUCGACACCGAUGACUUCCCGAUUAAGAUAGGACUGCAUCAGGGGUCAGCUUUGAGCCCUUAUCUUUUUGCAUUGGUGAUGGAUGAGGUCACAAGGGGUAUACAAGGAGAUAUCCCAUGGUGUAUGCUCUUUGCGGAUGAUGUGGUGCUAGUUGACGAUAGUCGAACGGGGGUAAAUAGGAAGUUAGAGUUAUGGAGACAAACCUUGGAAUCGAAAGGGUUUAGGCUUAGUAGAACUAAAACCGAGUACAUGAUGUGCGGUUUCAGUACUACUAGCUGUGAGGAGGAGGAGGUUAGCCUUGAUGGCUAG
rnacentral:rRNA from 1 species